UACGUAGGGUGCUAGCGUUGUUCGGAAUCAUUGGGCGUAAAGCGCGUGUAGGUGGUUAUGCAAGUCGGAUGUGAAAUCCCUGGGCUCAACCCGGGAAGUGCAUCCGAAACUAUAUAGCUAGAGGACGGCAGAGGAAGGUGGAAUUCCUAGUGUAGAGGUGCAAUUCGUAGAUAUUAGGAGGAAUACCGGUGGCGAAAGCGGCCUUCUGGACCGUUCCUGACACUGAGACGCGAAAGCGUGGGGAGCAAACAGG
rnacentral:rRNA from 1 species